rnacentral:lncRNA from 1 species
CCUUGUGAUUUGCCUGCCUCAGCCUCCCAAAGUGCUGGGAUAACAGGCGUGAGCCACCACGCCCAGCUUCAAAAGUUUUCAACAGAGCUCAGAGGUCUUAACCACAGGCACAUCCGAGGAGCAUUUUUGAAAUGGUUUCCAGCUUCCUCAAUAGGAAUGGAAGCCAAACCCGGAACUGAUGGCUCCUUGGAGGAAGUCGAGAGCUGUAAGGAAAGCCAGGAACAGGGGCAAGGGAGAGAUGCAUCCCGAAUGAUCCUGUGCCAAUUCUUUCUGGAAUCUUUGAUGUGAUCUCCGCUGCCCUUUCCAUACUUGACACAGUGAUUGUGGCACCCACUGGUCUAGCUGUGGUCUACAAGGAACCCCCAAAGGGAAGGGCACAGUGAGCAGGGGCAUCGGCCUGAGUGACAAGGAUUGGAGGGGGCAGGUUGGAUGCAGGGAGAGGACUGGCCAAAUGCCAUGUGUCUGGCUUAGACUACCUUGUUCAAAUUGGGCUUCACCAUUUUUGACUUCGUGAUCUGGUACAAGUUAUAUGAAAAUGUGUUGCUCCUUUUCUAGUCUGUAAAAUCAUAAGGAAAUGUGCACUAAUAACUGGGAGACUAUGCAGAUGAAAUGAAACAAGCUGCAUAGAACACAGAGCUCAGAGCCUGGCCUUUAGGAAGCCCUCAGUAAGGGUUCAUGAUGCCAUGGUGUCUGUCAUCAUCCUCUUUAUCCUCAUCAUCACCUUCAUCAUCUUUUUGUUGUUCUGAGGGCAUACUUUAGAGGGACUCAUUCCCUGCUCUCAUGGGUGAGAUGUCUAUGAAGAGGACAACCAGUGGGGGAGGGAAGCAAAAUUUUGAAGAAGAUUCCUGAGAGAGAUCCCCCACCACAACCAAGAACAGAAACUCCACAGUCUGCUGAGCUGACAGUUUGCACAUUGGUCUCCUCCCAUCUGCCCACGGCACUCUCCCGUUUGUCCUGAAGAUGAGGAAACAAACAAGGCUCCCGACCGUCCCUCAGCACUCACUGAACGGCCCUUCCCCUCUGCUGGGCCAUGACCACGGAGAACAGGUCCACUGUCCUCCCUGAGUGGUGCACAUGGGAGGCUCAGACUCCGUCCUCAAGGCUGGUAAGAAGACAGGGUGAGACAUGAGCCUCCUGAUACAGGUGACGGGUGUGGAGCCCACAGGACUGCAACCUCACACUGCAGGGCUGGAGGCACAGACUGAGUAUUUCCUAUUCUAUGGCCUGGGGGGCUCAAGGCACAGAGCUCCUCAUUAGCCAGAGUCGCCCAUGUUCCCCAUGCUCUAAGGAUUUCCUCAUCAUCAUGCAAGAAGAAGAAUAGAAAAAAGGAAGAGGAAGAAACAAAAGGAACUUCUCUCUUAGAUUUAAUUCUGACCUACCAGGAAGAACUGGAUUGUUGAAGCAGAAGUACUGGAGUCUCUGGAGCUAGAGCUCUCUAGAAGUGAACAACCCAAGCUGCUUAUACUGUAGUGGAGGAGACAGACAAUAAACCAAUAAAUAAGCAACAAACCAAUACAUAUAGGAAGUAUGACAGGCAGUGAAACCAAGGAUAAGAACAUUAAGAUUAUCCUGCUGGAGAGAGAGGCCAUGCGGAAGAACCCUGGAAAAUGAGACAGCUCACAGAGCAAGAGGCCAUGUGGAGAAGGCCUAGAAGUAAAAUGCCUCAUGGAACAAGAGGCCACAUGCAGAAGGCCUGGAGGAUGAGACGCCCUGUGAAGUGAGAGGCCACGUGGAGAAGGCCUAGAGGAGGAGACACCUUAUGGAGCAAGAGGCCGAAUGGAGAAGCCCCAGAGGGUUAGACACCUUGUGGAGCAAGAGGUCACACGCAGAAGUCCUGGGAGUGAGAUGCCUCACGAAGCGAGAUGCCUCGUGAAGCGAGAUGCCUCGUGGAGUGAGAGGCCAUGUGGAAGAACCCUGGAACUCAGCGGCUGAUAACACAAAGAUCCCAUGGUGUGAGAGAGGCCUUCAUGAACUUCCCGUCCAGCCCAGCUAGAGCCAAAUGGAGCCAUAUGUGUGACCGCAAGUGACAUCUACAAAAGAACGACCCAGUCACCCUGAGAAUUGUUAGAAAUGCAAAGCACUAAGUUUUGGGGUAGUUUGUUACACAGCAAUAGCUAACUGAUACAGAUGGUUUGAAUUACUUGACUUUAAAGUUCCUUCUUACCCUGAAAGUUUAUGGCUUAGUAAAGUGAAUUAAGCACAUUUGACUGAAACAGAGAGAUGGUGUAGGAAAAGAUCAGAAGGUAAGGGCAGGGCAAGGUGAGGAAGGCUUUCCGUGCCACGAUAAGGAAUUUGAGCUUUAACUGGUAGGUUCUGAAGCUGUCCCAGGAGGAAGUGACAUGAGAAGAUAGUUUUUUAGGAAGACCCACACUGCAGCAGCAUGUAGAUCAGACACGUGGGCACACAGAGCAGAUGUGAGAGAGAAGGAGGCAUGGAGACCUGAUUGCUGAGGCAAAAAGAUGCAGCUGACAAUUAUGGAGCAACAAGCUACUGAAUACAGAAUUGAACAUUCAGUCUUCAAGACACAGAUGUAAGCUGCUUUCUCUGUAUCAGCCUUCUCUGUAUCAACUCUUCAUUUUUUCCAACUAUGAUGUUUUUACUUUCAAAAAUCCAUGGGAGAAUACAUGGUAUGUCGUUAAAAGCCUGGGAUUUGAAAUAAGAAAGCCUUAGCUUUAAACCCCUUCUCUCACCUUCUAGCUGUGUAACUCUGGGCAAGUUACUGAACCUUGCUGUAUCGCAGCUUCUUCAUUUGUAAAAUGGAUAUAAUGAUAUUUGUCUCACAGGAGUAAUGCAAAGAUAAAAACGGAUUAUGUCUCAUGCAUUUACUUUUACUAAAUGGCUAAAUGCUCAAGCAACACAAAUACAUGAUUAUUUCUCUUUCACGUAACAGUCCAGGUUGGGAGUGUCAGGUUGAGGGGUGGAUCUUUUUCACAUCUUCUUGAAAGAAUUCGUGGUAAAAGCUGUCUUCAGUUUAUGCCUUCCAAGGUUCUUUUGGCCAUCGCCAUUCCAGAAAGAAGAGGAGAAGAGAGCAUGAAGGAGCCCGCCUAACAUGUUUUAUCUGGCUUCUCAGAAAUGGCACAUGCUUCUACUUGCAUUCCAUUGGCAAGAACACACGGCACACCAGCUGCCCACGGGGAUAGGGAAUCCCAGCUAGAAUUCCAUCCAAUAGAAGACAGAGGGGAGAGAAGAGCAGGGUAUUGGUAUCCACGCAAUUCAUCCAUUUAUUCCUCAAGCAUGUGUUAAGCGUUUGGCGAUGCUUCACGAUGUUGGACUCUGGACAUUCACAGAAGAUGAACACAUCUCACAAAAGGUGAAAAUGUUUAAAUCACCUGGGAUAAAGAACAUUCAGGGUUGAAAGAAUACAUGUUUGGUUAUAAUACUGCUUAUUAAGCAAGUAGAAAAUUAGAGUAAAUAUCAGCCCUUUAAGAAGACAGAUCUUCCAGAGAGCCUUAAAGGCAAGGUGGGCAUUUGAUGGUUUUAUCUGGGAACAUGCACUCCAGGUUCACCGUGAGCAGGUGAGAGACAUGGCUACACCUCUGAAAUGCUGCAAGUUCAUUUUUGAAGGAUUUGUCAUAGUAAAACAGAAAAAGUUCCCUUAUCCCCCUUACAGGGCGUGACAAGGGGAGUGGCUCCCUUCUUCCGCGCCCUGCAGCCUAAACCCCUAGGGAGAGCAUGCAGUCGGGCAGGUAGUAGGGAGCGUGGGCUCCAACCCCACCGCAGCGUCUAGGGUUGAGUGUUUACAGUUUUCGAAGCCCCGGUGAGCGUGUGUUGCAGCGUGCUUUUUCAGCUUAGCCAUCCGCAGGCGGCUUGUAUUAAUCAGCUCAAUUAGACCCUCUGCCUUAUCGCAAGGACAGAGGGCUUUUUGUAUCCUGGGGUUCUUGCCUAGUGUACUGGAAAAAUCUGAUCAUACAUGGGCUUGGAGAAUGAGUGCAAGGUUUUAUUGAGUGGUGGAAGUAGCUCUUAGCAGAUGGAUGGGAAGCCGGAAGAGGGAUGGAGUGGGAAGGGGUCUUCCCCUGGAGUCAGGCCGCUCAGUGGCUGGGCUUGCUUCUGACUGCCCUCUGCCAAAUUUCCCUCAGCGUCUGCGUGGUUCCACCGUCGAUGGCCUGCUAGUGUUUUUCUGCGAGUGUGUUCCUCUCGACGCCCAGCUGCUUGUACAUGUGCCCACUAGGGUCUCUCGGGUUUCUAUGGGCAUGGGAUGGCGGGGGGUUGUGGCGGGCCAGGGUGGUCUUGGAAAAUGCAACUUUUGGGCGUGAAAACAGGAAUGCCUGUCCUCACUUAGGUCCGUGGGCACAGGCCUGAGGGUGGAGCCCUGGCCAGGGACCCCAUCCUUCUCUACCCAGCACCUCCCUGCCCCCUCCCGUAUCAAUAGCAAUGAUGAAGGACUCACGCAGCCAUCUUUUCAGGAGCAUGUGACAGCCUGCAUGACCGGAGCCAAUGGUGAAUGUUUAAAUUCUGGGUCCCGAAGCAAUAUCUUGGGAAGGGCCUUCCUCUGUCCCACAGCUUCUAAAAAUGUUCUGUGCUUAUAGUAUUGGCUCAGUUUUGUGGAUGUGUUUCUGGGAUUAUUCAGUGACCUCAGACAGGCUGCUCCAAGUCUCCCUGGACCACCUGCGUAGUUCAGCCAUAUUCUACAGUGAGCACUUAGAACAGGACAUGCAGGGGCUACACAGGCAUCAAGGCUGGCUGAUUCCACAGAGCAAGAAUGUCAACAAGGAUCCAGCUUAUUUUUGCCUCUUCACCCCACCAUCUUUUAUGUCAGCCUCGUCCUCAGGGAAGUAGGAUGCAACAGUUCCAGCUGGACACGACAAUACUCACAGGAAGACGAAAGAGACUCUUAUUGCUGCUGUAUCGUGGGAACCUUGUCCCCGAUGCCCAUCAGGGUCAACUAUUUACAUGGGAAGGAAAAACAUACCCCGCAACUACAACCUGAUGUCAGUACCAAGAGCAGUAUGCAAACGACUAUUACGGGCGCUCAGAAGCAUCACAAUGGAAGGGAAGUUGCAGCUGCCUAUACCCACACCCACAUCUUGUCUACCUGCCUGCUGCGUCACAGCCUGGCUGCAUUACUGGGCUCACUUCAGUUCCAAGAAAGCUUCCAGAAAUCAUGGCAGGCACACCUGCAGUGAGCAGAUCUGUGUCUACUUGUCCUUUAAGUGGACACCACUUUUCUGUUCAGAGCACAGAUCAAUGUGUCAGACAGAGCUCUUGGAUGACAAUAUUGUCCUGGCAGGGAUCCAGAGCGGCUGGGGAUAGAGAAUAUUAAAUGGGUCUGGUGCAGAACAGUUGAGGUGUGACUGGAUGUGACAGAGGACAGCACCUCUUUGACAAUGACAUUAUGUGAGUUUGGGUGGGCUCUCAGCUCAGGUUUCAGAUGGCCAGGCAUCUGUUGCUGGCCGCCAUUCUGUUGACAUUUUACAUUUUGUGACCAUAAAUUAACUUUGGAAGAAGUUGAUAGACAAGUAGGUCAUUAUUUGGGUGUUCCUGUGUUUCUCAUAACAUUUUAAAUUCAGUCAGGGCAGAAAAUAUAUAUGUCUUUCCUUUAUACCAUUACCCUAAUCCCUGGCACAUGGUGGGUUUCCUCUUGACUUUAGUGGAACGUGCCUGGACCUUAACAAUCCCAACACCCCACCUUCCCCGCAACCCUGUCUUCUUCCCCAUCUCUCCAGCUGGCUUCCUGCCUUGUUUUCUCCUCACAUAGAUUUAACAGAUGCUCUGAGCCCCGCAGUGCACUUCAGUUCUAUUCUCUGCACUCGCCAUGGCACUUGGCACCAUUAACUGCAGCUCUCUCUGCCUUGACAUCUGCACCCCACUCUCCCCUGUGUGUUUUUUCUUUGGGGGUUUCUUAUCAGGCGCCUCUUCUUUAAAUGCUUGUUUUCCUUUGAGCCCUGUCCAAAGCUCUAGGUUCCAUUUUCCACUUUCUACGUUCUAUCUGGUCCUUCAUUCAAAUUUACAGCUCACAUCUCUGCUUUUGCCUCUAGCCCAGAUCUCUCUCUCUCUCUCUCUCUCUCUCUCUCUCUCUGUCUUUCAAACCUUACACAACUUGAGACAUCUUCACUCACAUAUCCUGCAGGUACACCGAACUCAACAUGGUCAAUACAGGAGACAGUCUCUCACCCCAAAAUGGAAUUUCUCUCUUUUUAAAGGAAACCAGCAUUCAUAAGCCAGAAGCCAAUCUGGAUUUUGUCUGGAAACUCAAGUAUAAGACCUAGCACCACUUGCCAAGGACCUCUGCUUUGCUUUGGUAGGCCAAGGGUCUGGCUCUGUUACCCAGGCUGGAUUGCAGUGG